GUCAUCGAAGGAAUAUGUAUCAAGACAUUGAUUUUGCUGAUCCAGUUGGCUUUGUAAUUGAUGCUGGCUGAUCUUCUCCAUGUUCUUUUAACAGAUUCAAGCACAUUGUGGGAAGACCCAGCUCAUUGGAGAAGGCUCUUAUGCUGGGAAAGAUGAAAGAAAAGAGGACGACCAGCAGCAAAGUGGAUGGACUUCAUAGUGGUGAUGUGUAGAUGGAAGACUUGAAAUAUCAAGUUAGGAACAGAUUGUUAUGGAGAAAACCCACUGGGUUGCUAAAAGUUAACAUUGACUUGAUGGCACAUGAUCAAUCAAAAUAAAUAUUCCUCCUCAA